AUUGAACGCUGGCGGCAGGCUUAACACAUGCAAGUCGAGCGGGGGAAGGUAGCUUGCUACCGGACCUAGCGGCGGACGGGUGAGUAAUGCUUAGGAAUCUGCCUAUUAGUGGGGGACAACAUCUCGAAAGGGAUGCUAAUACCGCAUACGUCCCACGGGAGAAACAAGGGGAUCUUCGGACCUUGCGCUAAUAGAUGGGCCUAAGUCGGAUUAGCUAGUUGGUGGGGUAAAGGCCUACCAAGGCGACGAUCUGUAGCGGGUCUGAGAGGAUGAUCCGCCACACUGGGACUGAGACACGGCCCAGACUCCUGCGGGAGGCAGCAGUGGGGAAUAUUGGACAAUGGGGGAAACCCUGAUCCAGCCAUGCCGCGUGUGUGAAGAAGGCCUUAUGGUUGUAAAGCACUUUAAGCGAGGAGGAGGCUACUGAGACUAAUACUCUUGGAUAGUGGACGUUACUCGCAGAAUAAGCACCGGCUAACUCUGUGCCAGCCGCCGCGGUAA
rnacentral:rRNA from 1 species